UUCCCGAUUCCUAUGUCUCAGUCUCCGUCACUCACUCACUCACUCACGACGAAUCCCAACCCUCAGUCUCUCUGACUCCUCCAAGCUGCCAAAGUGACGGUCGACGGCGACGAAGCCAAACCCCAAGGCCGACGCCGACGCCUCCCUCCCUCCCCUGCGAAUCUGCGACGAAGAAACAAGCAGAUGACGACGAAGCUAGAAGCCGACGGCGCUGCCUCCCUCCCUCCGUCCCCUGCGAAUCUGCGAAUCUAGAGCUGAGAGCUAGUUGUUGGCACUUGUCAGAGAGCAGACACUCCAGGUUUGGUUGAUGCAGGGAGUAGAGAAUUCAGAACUCAGUUUUGGUUCUUGCAGGAGGAGAAUUCAAAGAAACCCAUUGAAAUUCAAAGAAACACCUAGCAUUUGUCAAAUAACAGAAAUCCUCUAAAGAAACCCACAUAGAAAUUCAAAGAAACCCAAGAUUAUGUAUAAAUGUCUAUUACCUGUGUGCUGGUUGAUUUGCAGAGAUUUGAGAGCUUGUUGAUUGCACUUUGCAGAGCUCCAGACUGAUGAGGCUUGGUUGAUGCAGGGGCCAGGGAGUAGAGAAUUCAGAAUGCAGUUUUGAUUCUUGUAUGAGGAGAAUUCAGUAUUUGUUUUUGUUAACUAACUUUGAUUCAUCUGUAGUAUAUAUACCAGUUCAAGUACAACUUAAAAUUUAUUUAAUGAUAUCUUUUUAUCUUUUUAUUAUAAUAA